rnacentral:rRNA from 1 species
GAUGAACGCUAGCUACAGGCUUAACACAUGCAAGUCGAGGGACCGGCGCACGGGUGAGUAACACGUAUCCCACCUGCCCUUUACUCGGGGAUAGCCUUUCGCAAGAAAGAUUAAUACCCGAUGUAAAGGAUGGGGAUGCGUUCCAUUAGGUUGUUGGUGAGGUAACGGCCCACCAAGCCUUCGAUGGAUAGGGGUUCUGAGAGGAAGGUCCACUACAUUGGAACUGAGACCCGGUCCAAACUCCGACGGGAGGCAGCAGGGAGGAAUACUGGGCAAUGGGCGUUAGCCUGAACCAGCCAAGUAGCGUGAAGGAUGAAUGCUUAUGGGUCGUAAACUUCUUGUAUAUAAGAAUAUGUAUUAUAUGAAUAAGGAUCGGCUAACUCCGUGCCAGCAGCCGCGGUAAUAC